rnacentral:rRNA from 1 species
AGUGAACGCUGGCGGUAGGCCUAACACAUGCAAGUCGAACGGCAGCACAGUAAGAGCUUGCUCUUACGGGUGGCGAGUGGCGGACGGGUGAGGAAUACAUCGGAAUCUACUUUUUCGUGGGGGAUAACGUAGGGAAACUUACGCUAAUACCGCAUACGACCUACGGGUGAAAGCAGGGGAUCUUCGGACCUUGCGCGAUUGAAUGGGCCGAUGUCGGAUUAGCUAGUUGGCGGGGUAGAGGCCCACGAAGGCGACGAUGGGUAGCUGGUCUGAGAGGGUGACCGGCCACAGGGGGACUGGAGUACGGCCCAGACUCCUACGGGAGGCAGCAGUGGGGAAUAUUGCACAAUGGGCGGAAGCCUGAUGCAGCAACGCCGCGUGCGGGAUGACGUCCUGCGGGUUGUAAAACGCUUUCGCCUGUGACGAAGCGUGAGUGACGGUAAUGGGUAAAGAAGCACCGGCUAACUACGUG